rnacentral:rRNA from 1 species
AGAGUUUGAUCAUGGCUCAGGACGAACGCUGGCGGCGUGCUUAACACAUGCAAGUCGAGCGGAAAGGCCCUUCGGGGUACUCGAGCGGCGAACGGGUGAGUAACACGUGAGUAACCUGCCCCUGACUCUGGGAUAAGCCCGGGAAACUGGGGCUAAUACCGGAUACGACCGCCCCAGGCAUCUGGUGGUGGUGGAAAGUUUUUUCGGUUGGGGAUGGACUCGCGGCCUAUCAGCUUGUUGGUGGGGUAAUGGCCUACCAAGGCGACGACGGGUAGCCGGCCUGAGAGGGCGACCGGCCACACUGGGACUGAGACACGGCCCAGACUCCUACGGGAGGCAGCAGUGGGGAAUAUUGGACAAUGGGCGCAAGCCUGAUCCAGCCAUGCCGCGUGGAUGAUGAAGGCCUUAGGGUUGUAAAGUCCUUUUAACGGGGAAGAUAAUGACGGUACCCGUAGAAUAAGCCCCGGCUAACUUCGUGCCAGCAGCCGCGGUAAUA